CCUAGCAUGCUGACCUACAGGGGCUCCAUCAAUAGGGUCCUGUGUCUUCUGGUAUCUUGUUGCAUUAGGCCAAUGAGAUGCCCAGCAUACAAUGGAGGGCAGCAGGUGAGUGAGAUCAUGGCAUUUGUUUCCCAGCCCUUCUGCAGGGUGGUUAGCUGAGGCUCUCUGAUGUCUAGAUCGCUUCCCUCAUCUUCCAGCAAAUGACAACCAUGUGCCCUGGAUUCCCUUGCACCUGCAGCACUAUGAGGAAACUGAGACUCAGAAGGUAAAGCAGCUGCCAAGCAACAGUGGAAGGGCUGCCUCACAUCUGACUCUGCUCUGCAUCUCUCCGACCCCUCAUAGCAGCUCCAGACUCCACAGUGAGAACAGAACUGACCAGCCUGGAUGUCUGGACUCAGCCUGGCUGGGGGCAUCACCAGGGCCACUGUUCUCCUUCCUUCCAGGGAAAUAAUCACCCCUCCUAUUUUCCCUGAAUCCAUGAUGUGGAGAGAUGAAUAAUAACCCACUAUAAGAUGUCCACAUCCUAACUCCUGGAGCUUGUGAGCAUUGUCUUACGUGGUAAAGAAGGACUUUACAGAUGUGAUUGAGUUCAAGAUCUUGAGACAGAUCAUUCAGGAUUUUUCAGGUCCAUGGUCUGAUGGGCAUAUCUCAGGUUUCCAGGACAGGCUGCCCUUGUCCAGGUCUGAAUACUCACACAUAUUACUCAGAAUACUUAUGUAUCUAUUUGACAAUGGCACUCUUGCAGCUCUGGGUCAGAGUGUUCCAAAGCAGACACCUCCAUCAGCUGGGCAAGUCCUACAAGGCAGCCUCUGAGGGUCAGGGGAGGAUGUCAUAACAUGUCUAGUAGGAUUUUCACUAGGUGGUCUGUGUUCCAGGGCAGUUGGCAUGCAAAUCACUAUGGGCUUCAGCGUUUGGGUUCAGAGUCAUGAAAGAAUCACCCAGAGGAUGUUUCUGAGCACUGACUGAUGCCUGACCUGGGAACAGUUGUUUGCUACAUGGAUUUAGUCUCCACCACAAACCAAGAUUAGUAGUUUUCCCCAUUCUCAUAUUAUAGAUGAAGAAACUGAGACUCAGAGAUUAACUGCCUCUCCUAGAGUCACCUAGCAAGGGAUCUGAACCCAGGAGAGUUGGACUGCUAGGUGGUGCUGCUUCUCAAAGACAGGUCCUAUUUAUUUUUGAACAUUUUAACCUUUAUUUGAAAUAAUUUCAGACUUAGAAAAAGGCAACAAAAGUUGUGUGAAUUUUGUUAUAUACACUUCAUCCCACUUUCCCAAAUGUUAGUAUCUUUUGUAACUACAGUGAAAUGGUAAAAACUAGAAAGUUACCAUUGGCGCAAUGCUAUGAACUGAUCUACAGACUUUCUUCACAUUUCAUCAAUUGUCCCACUAUUUUUUUUUCUUCAGGAUCCCAUUUAGGGUCCCACCUUAACAAAAGUUUUUAGAAUAGGAAGCUAUUACAGCCUUCUGAGUGCAGGUGAUGGGGUUCAGGACAUACUAUGCCAAAAUAUGGCACCUUGGCGCAUUGAAGAUUUUAAGACAAAGGAGUUUUAGGAAACGGUGAAACAGGAAGGAUACUCUGACCCCCUCCUUAGCCCUCCUUCCUUGAAAAUAGGAGACAAACCUCUCAUGUGAAAGACACCCUCCUGGUACAUGGACAUGGAGGACAUCCUUUUCUCUGGAGACACGGAAUUCAGGGUCAAGAAGCCUGUAUAAACAAGCCUUAUAACUUCUUCACCAUUUAUUACCCCUAGUCUCAACUCCAUUGUCUUGUUAAUUCUUCACACAUUUAUUAUUUCCUUGUCUACAGGGUAUGCAAGCAUCUUGUUCUGGCCACUUCACAUCCUCAUUCUCUUGUGAAGUUUCCCAUGUAUAUAUAAAAGGUCAAUUAAACCAUGUUUUUCUCCUGCUAGUUAAUUCUAAGGCCCAGCCAGAGACCCAAAGAGGGUAGAGGAGAAUUUUUCUUGCUUGACAUAAGUAGCACCUAACCUUCA